AGAUGAAUCACCUGGGGGAUCUUGUUGAAAUGCAGACUCUGAUUCAGUAGGUCUCUGUGGGACCUGAGAUUCUGCAUUUCUAAGAAGUUUCCAGAUGAUGCCAAU
rnacentral:pre_miRNA from 1 species